AGAUGCGUGACUAGUUCAUAAAAUAUCAAUCUUGUGUUCCACCACAUAUGAGGCAAUCGUGUGUGCUAUCAUGUUCAUCUUUCAAUAGACAUGUCUGACUUUUAGGAAGACACAUCCUCUCAAAGCACCCUCGAUAGUUAGUUGAUUAUAGGUCAUGUUUAUCUUUCAAUAGACAUGUCUGACUUGUAGGAAGACACAUCCUCUC
rnacentral:lncRNA from 1 species